rnacentral:rRNA from 1 species
CCUACGGGGGGCAGCAGUAGGGAAUAUUGCUCAAUGGGGGAAACCCUGAAGCAGCAACGCCGCGUGGAGGAUGAAGGUUUUCGGAUUGUAAACCCAUUUUGUUAGAGAAGAAAAUGACGGUAUCUAACGAAUAAGCACUGGCUAACUCCGUGCCAGCAGCCGCGGUCAUACGGAGGGCGCAAGCGUUACUCGGAAUGAAUGGGCGGAAAGCGCUCGUAGGCGGGAUCGCAAGGCAGAUGGGAAAUCCUAUGGGUUAACCAUAGAACUGCAUGUGAAACUGUUAUUCUAGAGUAUGGGAGAGGUAUGUGGAAUUCUUGGUGUAGGGGUGAAAUCCGUAGAUAUCAAGAGGAAUACUCAUUGCGAAGGCGACCUGCUGGAACAUAACUGACGCUGAUGCGCGAAAGCGUGGGGAGCAAACAGGAUUAGAUACCCGUGUAGUC